UACGAAGGGGGCUAGCGUUGCUCGGAAUCACUGGGCGUAAAGCGCACGUAGGCCGAUUGUUAAGUCAGGGGUGAAAUCCUGGAGCUCAACUCCAGAACUGCCCUUGAUACUGACGGUCUCGAGUCCGGGAGAGGUGAGUGGAACUGCGAGUGUAGAGGUGAAAUUCGUAGAUAUCAAGCGGAACACCGGUGGCGAAGGCGGCCUUCUGGACAGUGACUGACGCUGAGACGCGAAAGCGUGGGGAGCAAACAGG
rnacentral:rRNA from 1 species